rnacentral:rRNA from 1 species
GACGAACGCUGGCGGCGUGCUUAACACAUGCAAGUCGAGCGAGGUCCUCCUUCGGGAGGUGUCCUAGCGGCGAACGGGUGAGUAACACGUGGGCAACCUGCCCCCGGCUCUGGGAUAACUCCAAGAAAUUGGGGCUAAUACCGGAUAUGACCGCUGACCGCAUGGUCUGGUGGUGGAAAGAUUUAUCGGCUGGGGAUGGGCCCGCGGCCUAUCAGCUUGUUGGUGGGGUAGUGGCCUACCAAGGCGACGACGGGUAGCUGGCCUGAGAGGGUGACCGGCCACACUGGGACUGAGCCACGGCCCAGACUCCUACGGGAGGCAGCAGUGGGGAAUAUUGCGCAAUGGGCGGAAGCCUGACGCAGCGACGCCGCGUGGGGGAUGACGGCCUUCGGGUUGUAAACCUCUUUCAGCAGGGACGAAGCGCAAGUGACGGUACCUGCAGAAGAAGCACCGGCCAACUACGUGCCAGCAGCCGCCGUAAGAC